UCCAAGAGCUUCUGUCAUGAGUGGCACACGUAAGGCAAUUCUAUUGCUCUUCAAACAGAAUCAACAUGCAGAGAUUUUGGAAGCAUAUUUUUUUUUUUAUUUGGGAAGUUGGUGAUUGUUUGCCCCAGGGUUCUU
rnacentral:snRNA from 1 species